CGCUGGCGGCGUGCCUAACACAUGCAAGUCGAGCGAGGAGAUCCUUCGGGAUGAUCCUAGCGGCGGACGGGUGAGUAACACGUGGGCAACCUGCCUCAUAGAGAGGAAUAGCCUUCCGAAAGGGAGAUUAAUACCUCAUAACAUUGCAGUUUCGCAUGAAACAGCAAUUAAAGGAGCAAUCCGCUAUGAGAUGGGCCCGCGGCGCAUUAGCUAGUUGGUGAGGUAACGGCUCACCAAGGCGACGAUGCGUAGCCGACCUGAGAGGGUGAUCGGCCACAUUGGGACUGAGACACGGCCCAGACUCCUACGGGAGGCAGCAGUGGGGAAUAUUGCACAAUGGGGGAAACCCUGAUGCAAGCAACGCCGCGUGAGUGAUGACGGCCUUCGGGUUGUAAAGCUCUGUCUUCAGGGACGAUAAUGACGGUACCUGAGGAGGAAGCCACGGCUAACUACGUGCCAGCCGCUGC
rnacentral:rRNA from 1 species